rnacentral:rRNA from 1 species
AUACGGAGGAUCCGAGCGUUAUCCGGAUUUAUUGGGUUUAAAGGGUGCUCAGGCGGGCUAUUAAGUCGGCGGUGAAAUUUUGCGGCUCAACCGUAAAAGUGCCUUCGAAACUGGUAUCCUUGAGUGUAGAUGAAGUAGGCGGAAUUUGUGGUGUAGCGGUGAAAUGCAUAGAUAUCACGAGGAACUCCGAUUGCGCAGGCAGCUUACUAAACUACUACUGACGCUCAGGCACGAAGGCGUGGAGAUCAAACAGGAUUAGAUACCCUGGUAGUCCACGCAGUAAACGAUGAUUACUAGCUGUUUGCGAUACAAUGUAAGCGGCUGAGCGAAAGCGUUAAGUAAUCCACCUGGGGAGUACGUUCGCAAGAAUGAAACUCAAAGGAAUUGACGGGG